UACGGAGGGGGCAAGCGUUGUUCGGAAUCACUGGGCGUAAAGCGCACGUAGGCGGAUCUUUAAGUCAGGGGUGAAAUCCUGGAGCUCAACUCCAGAACUGCCUUUGAUACUGGGGAUCUCGAGUCCGGAAGAGGUGAGUGGAACUCCGAGUGUAGAGGUGAAAUUCGUAGAUAUUCGGAAGAACACCAGUGGCGAAGGCGACUCACUGGUCCGGUACUGACGCUGAUGCGCGAAAGCGUGGGGAGCAAACAGG
rnacentral:rRNA from 1 species